GACGAACGCUGGCGGCGUGCCUAAUACAUGCAAGUAGAACGCUGAAGGAGGAGCUUGCUCUUCUGGAUGAGUUGCGAACGGGUGAGUAACGCGUAGGUAACCUGCCUGGUAGCGGGGGAUAACUAUUGGAAACGAUAGCUAAUACCGCAUAACAGUAGAUGUUGCAUGACAUUUGCUUAAAAGGUGCAAUUGCACCACUACCAGAUGGACCUGCGUUGUAUUAGCUAGUUGGUGGGGUAACGGCUCACCAAGGCGACGAUACAUAGCCGACCUGAGAGGGUGAUCGGCCACACUGGGACUGAGACACGGCCCAGACUCCUACGGGAGGCAGCAGUAGGGAAUUUUCGGCAAUGGACGGAAGUCUGACCGAGCAACGCCGCGUGAGGGAAGAAGGGUUUCGGAUCGUAAAGCUCUGUUGUAAGAGAAGAACGAGUGUGAGAGUGGAAAGUUCACACUGUGACGGUAUCUUACCAGAAAGGGACGGCUAACUACGUG
rnacentral:rRNA from 1 species